GUUCCCCAACUCAGUCCUCAUGGACCACCAACAGUCCAGGUUUUGUCAGUAUCUCCAUUGGAAUAAAUCUGGGAAUACAUAAAUCCUGGACUGUUGGUGGUCCCUGAGGACUGGGUUGGGGAA